CCAGAUAGCUCAGUCGGUAGAGCAACGGACUGAAAAUCCGUGUGUCGGUGGUUCGAUUCCACCUCUGGCC
rnacentral:tRNA from 1 species